UACGUAGGGCGCAAGCGUUAUCCGGAAUUAUUGGGCGUAAAGAGCGUGUAGGCGGCCAGACAGGUCCGUUGUGAAAACUCGAGGCUCAACCUCGAGAUGUCGAUGGAAACCGUCUGGCUAGAGUCCGGAAGAGGAGUGUGGAAUUCCUGGUGUAGCGGUGAAAUGCGCAGAUAUCAGGAAGAACACCUAUGGCGAAGGCAGCACUCUGGGACGGUACUGACGCUGAGACGCGAAAGCGUGGGGAGCGAACAGG
rnacentral:rRNA from 1 species